rnacentral:rRNA from 1 species
UACGUAGGGUGCGAGCGUUAAUCGGAAUUACUGGGCGUAAAGCGUGCGCAGGCGGUUUUGUAAGCCAGAUGUGAAAUCCCCGGGCUCAACCUGGGAAUGGCAUUUGGGACUGCAAGGCUGGAGUACGGCAGAGGAGACUGGAAUUCCUGGUGUAGCAGUGAAAUGCGUAGAUAUCAGGAGGAACACCGAUGGCGAAGGCAGAUCUCUGGGCCGUAACUGACGCUGAGGAGCGAAAGCGUGGGGAGCGAACAGG